UCAACUUCUCCAGACAAAACAAGCACAUGGAAACCACAACAGAGAAUACUAGAUCAGUGACAACAUAAACUAAGGCCCAAAACUGAAGAGAAAAAAGUACACACAAGAAAAGAGUCGAAAGAAAGAAAAAAAAACACACACACACAGAGAUACUCUCCCAACCGUAGACGAAGAACCUUAAAGUUUCGUUUGAAAACACAACUCAUCUCAACUCAUC